AUAACCUAAGUUAUGAUUUCGUUUUGGAAGAAUCAAGCAUUAGAAAAUACAUCUGAGAUCUUAAAACAACCACUUUUGCUAAUUGUCAACAUAUGAAAUUGCAUUUCAUUUACAUUACAAACGCGUGUAUAUUUUUAAUUAAACGUCUGCCUAUCUCAUCACCAAUAAAAAAACAUACUAAUCAAGGUCUACACUGAAAUUGUUUGUCUACAAAAGACGCAAACCAAAAGUGUUUCAAAUUGUAAUUAGUAAAUAGUAAAUCAUGCAAGGAAACGGUGUUAAAAUAAUUACGAUUACGAAGAUUUGAAGACCUUCGAUUUCUAAAGGAAAUCAGAUAUUAUUCCUAUGAAUAUGAUCAUUUGAACAUUUUCAAAAUUUAACAGGUUAUGAGGUUUACUGUUUGUGAUACUUUAUAGAAAUAAAGGAUGUACCUUGGAGAUAAAGAUAACUAUUUGUAUUGUAAUUAUCUAUAGUACUAAUCUCUUUAGGUUUAGGAAAUCCUCUUUGUAUAUAAACACUAUCUCGUACAUGAAUAAAGGACACAAUUUACCUUCUAUUUUAUGGUAUCAGAGCUAAGACACGACCCUUGAUCUUUCUCUGCUUCCUUGCUUACUAAAUACUACUAUAUCAAAAAUCGAGUUGAUCAUCAUCUAUGACUUCAACAUCGAGUUCUUCUAAUUCUUCUACUAUGGAGAGUUCUACAUCAGACUCUCAUUACGUCCUGCACCACUCUGACAAUCCUGGUGCCCUAAUUACACCGGUGCUUCUCCAAGGAGAUAAUUACUCUGAGUGGGCAACAGAGCUUUGGAACUCUCUCCAAGCCAAACAAAAGAUCGGGUUUAUCGAUGGCUCAAUUAUUAAGCCGACGUCUAACCCUGAUCUUGCCCUCUGGACCUCUACAAACUCAAUGAUAGUUGGCUGGAUCCGUACGUCAAUCGAUCCCCAAGUUCAUUCAACUGUGUCUCACGUUGCAGAUGGUUCGAAGCUUUGGGAUUCUCUCAAACAACGUUUCUCAGUCAAGAAUGCCGUCCGCAAGCAUCUCCUUGAGGAUGAAAUAACUAAUUGCAAACCGAAUGGUCAAUCUGUUCUUGAAUACUACGGCCGUCUUUCUAAGCUAUGGGAAUAAAUUCAGAACUUCAAGCCUUCCAUGUCCUAUAUGUGUGCUGCUGCUGCAUAUCUUGAAAAAGAACGAGAAGAUGCUAAAAUUCACAAGUUUCUUUUCGGUCUCGAUGAAGUGAGAUUCAACGCUAUACAAUCUCAAAUCAUUGACGAAGACCCUCUUCCUGAUCUAAACAUCGUCACUACAAGAAAACAUGCAUGUUGCGAGGGAAAUUUGCGAGAGAAAAUGUUCCAUGCAAAUUCGCGACAGUUUUGCAACGGAAUUGCAAGAAAAAAAAAAUUAAACUCUCGUAAAUCUCUCGCAAACUUGCGAGAGAAUAUAUUCCCUCGCAAAUUUGCGAGAGACUUGCGAGGGAAUAUAUUCUUUCACAAAUUUGCGAGAGAUUUUGCAAGGGAAGUUACAGAGUCCUCGCAAAUUCCUUGCAAAUUUGCGAGAAAAAUUUCUCUCGCAAAUUUGCAAGAGAUUUGCAAGAAUUUUGUCUGACUAUCUUGUUUCUUCACAAUUCCCUCGCAAAUUUGCAAUGGAUUUGCAAAGAAGAUGCAUGAUAUGUACAUUUUGACAUUUCUAUCACAAAAUCAAAUAAAAUUAUAAAUAAAAAAAUUAAUUAAAAUAUUUAGUGUUUAACAAGUACAUCAAUAUAUUCGCUGGAUAAAUAUUUUCCAACACCUGAACUAAUAUUAUGAAGUACUAAACAUCAAAACUCUAUAAUUUAUACAAUAAAUACACAUCAACUAAAUUUCUAAAAAAAUUGAAACAAAUUUUCACGUUAAUUAUAUUUUCAAACAAUAAAUAAAAAAUACAUAUAAAUUCAACAAAAAUAUACCAAACACCCAAACAAAACCCUAAAAUGAUUGACUUAUGAAUUUGCAAGGAAUUUGCAAAGGAUCCCUCGCAAUUCUCUUGCAAAUUUGCGAGAGUACCUAAGCACUCGCAAAUUAGCAAGGGAUUUGCAAUGGAUUCCUCACAAAUCCAAUGCAAAGUUGCGAGAGAUUCAAUUUCCCUUGCAAAUUUGCAAGGGAUUUGCAAGAGACUCGUUGCAAUUUCCUUGCAAAUCCAUUUUUCCAAACUUAAAUGGUUUGGGUUUCAUCAAGGAUUUUGGUGUAGGAUAACACAUUUUAUUGAAUCAUUUAGUGUUUUAAAUAUUAGUCAAAAAACAUUUUCAGAAAUUUAAUUAACCAUAGUUAAGAACUUAAGUCCCAACACUUAAUUUGUUAUUGCAAGUAAGUAACAUCAAACCCUUAUGACGUAUAUAACUCAUAUACGUCAACUAAAUUUCCGGAAAAUGUUAAGCAUACUUUCACAUUAAUUAUUUGUUUUGAAUCGAAUCACUAACUAGUAAAUACAUUUAGUCUACCAAAAACAUAAGAAAACCUCAAACGAAACCCUAAAAUACACUAUUUAUGAAUUUGCAAGGGAAUCCUUGCAAUUCCAAUUCCCUUGCAAAUCGCAAAUUUGUGAGAGAAUUGUGAGGAAUCCAUUGCAUUUCCCUUGCAAAUUCAUUUUUUCCAACUCAAAAUGAAAAUUCCAAAACUAGUGAUGAUUUAAACUCUAAUACAAUCAACUUUAUAAUGUUUGAAAACUUAAACUCUUAAUCUUAAAUAAAAACUUAUAAAACUAAAUGUUUGAUUAAAACUUAAUCUCAAACUAUAUAUCUAUUUCCAAACUUUAACCAUAAACCCUAAAACACAUUUAUCCCAAACACUAUAUCUCAAAUUUAAUCACCAAAAUCCGAACACCAACUUUAAUCUUUUAAAAUUUAAACACCAAAACUUUAACAUAACUAAUAAUCAAGAAAAUUCAAAUAAUAUCCUAAAAUUUUACUUUAAACCCCAAACCUAAUACUCCAAAUAAUAUUUAAUCAUAAACAUUAACCUUAUAUUUAAAAUUUUAAUAUAUUAAUAUAACCUAAAAUUUAAAGGUUGAACUCAAAUUUUCAUAUUUUAAAAUUUUAAUUUCAUAUCUUAAAUCCAAACCACAAACUCCAAAUAUAAACCAUACCCAAAUCAUAUAUCCUAAACUCAAAUUAAAAAAUAAAAUCUUGUCACUUUUGUUAAUGUGAUAUAUCAUUAACAUUAUAAAAUUUAUAACUGUUAUAUAAAUAAAAUUAGUUAAACAAUAAAAUUACAAUUUCUAAAAUAAUUAUUAAACAAAAACACAGUUUGUAGUUCGAUAAUCUCUGACUAUUGAUAACUUUUGAUCCAAUGGCAUUAAAUCAAUCUUUUGUUAAUCUUCGUCACUGUUUUUCAUUGGUUCACAUUGUAAAAGGUGGAUCACUCAUUAUUAAUCUCAGUCGUUGACAAGUGUCAAUCUAAAGGAAGGAAUUAAUGUAUUUGAUUUAAUAUUUUCUUUUUCUUUUUCUUCCUUCUCGUCCCGGUCGAGACUUCAUGCUUCCUCUUCUCCUCUCUCCUCUCUCAUCAUCUCUUCUAUUUCUCUUCUUCUCAUCUCCUCAAUGAAAAAAAGACAGAGCAAGCAUCAACAAUCGUUGGUGAGAUUUAUGUAUUUUGUUUCUUCUCUUACACUCCUCUGUUUUAAAAUCUAUUAAGGCUGGGGGGCUUAUUGGAUUUAGGUUUUCAAAAGUUUUUUGGGAUUUUAGAUCUGAUAGAAUUUAGAUGGGAUUUAAAGAUUUUGGUGGGGUUUCGGAGAUUUUGGUGGGAAUUUAAAUAGGUGAUUUUGGUAGAAUUUAAAAAUAAAAUAACAAAACAAUAUAAACUUUCCAAACUGUCGUCUUGUGUUCAUACUGAUUUAUUGUAACAGUACACAGGGAGAACCCAAUGAAAUCGAGCGUCACUCUCUACCUCUAUAGUUUUUUUAUGGUUUCACAAUGGUCCUCCAUGCUCAAUAACAUAAACAUGUCCAAUAGACUCCAACUGUGAUAUGAUCAAUAGACUCGAGCCUCACUCUCUACUUUAUUUACACUCUUCUUUUCCUCUGUGCUAUGAUCAAUAGACUCCGACUGAUUCCUGAGCUUUUUAUUAUCCUCAAGCAGCCUAUCAAUCUCCAUAAGAGAAAUAGAACAACCCUGAAUUAUAUAAUAUGACCAGUAACCAAGAAAGAAUCUAACCUUAAAGCAAAACAGAAGGUUAGUGAGGCAAUGAAAUGAAAUGUGAAGGUAAAAGUGAGAUAAUACUCCAACUGUAUAUCUACAUAUGGUUCGUUAAUUUACAUAUAUGUUUGCAAACAGUGGAUGAACAGCUGUGUAGAGCCUACAAUUGAUGACUACCAAAAAACUCAACAUGAAGACAUUGCAUACUAUCGACACUGUUCAGUGAAACUUCUAAAUAGAGUUGGCCUCAAGGUUAGCUAGUUUAGACUUGGGUGUUACAUGGAUGUGUACACAACGUAUCAGAGUGAGAUGUGCCUUCAUUUUUUUUUUCUGGUUGUAACUUUUAUGAAUACAAAACCCAAUUAGACUUUUAACAGACAUGAACCACUUGAUUCAUCGAGAAUCCGAGAUCGAAGUAUUCACCGGAAACUAUUAACGAAGAGGUCAGAAGUUAAGAUGAUUGGUUUAUAAUUAAAAUAUUAAUACAGUUUCCGAAGUGACGAACCCAAUUAUCCUAUUUUGACUUCAUCUUUAUGGUCUACUCGAUCCAACUCUUUGAACUCGUCGGAUUCUUCUCCGACCAUAUUCUACUCCUUUUCAAGACAAUUCCCUUUUAGAUUUACAGGAGCUUCUUCCAGGUGAAAUCUUCUCUUUCCGAUCGGCACAAAGCAGAUAACACUAGGAGGAGCCGACUAAAAAUUCCAGCAGCUUUUUAAUCGCCAUACCAGCAAUUCCAACUGAUCUGAGAAAGUGGUGAUGUGAUGAGUCGGCAGUGGUGGCGUGACGAAUCAGUGGUCGCCGGUGGCGAGCAUGGAGGAGCGGUGGCGGAACGUGGAUGACGAGGCAGAAAAUCUUAAUGGCGGAGGAGGCAGAAAAGCUUCACGGUGGAGGCGGACGCGGACAAGACAAGGCGUGGUCACGUAGGGUUGGUGGUGUUAGACAGAGAAGUCGCUGGAGUACUGGUGGCGUUUGCCGGAGACGUCAAAGGAGGUGGAGGCGGAGACGGAGGCGUGAGUAGUUAGGGCUUUAGGUUUAGGUGUGAACUGUAUAAUUUUUUAAUUAGGUUAAUUGUUUAAAACUACUUUGAUUUGUAAUCCAAAUUCAAUUAUUUUGUAAAUAAAAAUUAAUAAAUUAUAUAUUUUAAUUGCAUUUUGUGA